rnacentral:rRNA from 1 species
UACCAGCACCCCGAGUGGUCGGGACGAUUAUUGGGCCUAAAGCAUCCGUAGCCGGUCCUGCAAGUCUUCCGUUAAAUCCAGCUGCUCAACAGAUGGGCUGCGGGGGAUACUACAGGGCUAGGAGGCGGGAGAGGCAAGCGGUACUUUAUAGGUAGGGGUAAAAUCCGUUGAUCCAUAGAAGACCACCAGUGGCGAAGGCGGCUUGCCAGAACGCGCUCGACGGUGAGGGAUGAAAGCUGGGGGAGCAAACAGG